CCUACGGGAGGCAGCAGUGAGGAAUAUUGGUCAAUGGACGAGAGUCUGAACCAGCCAAGUAGCGUGAAGGAUGAAUGCCCUAUGGGUUGUAAACUUCUUUUAUAUGGGAAUAAAAUGUUCCACGUGUGGGAUUUUGUAUGUACCAUAUGAAUAAGGAUCGGCUAACUCUGUGCCAGCAGCCGCGGUAAUACGGAGGAUCCGAGCGUUAUCCGGAUUUAUUGGGUUUAAAGGGAGCGUAGGUGGAUAGUUAAGUCAGUUGUGAAAGUUUGCGGCUCAACCGUAAAAUUGCAGUUGAAACUGGCAGUCUUGAGUACAGUAGAGGUGGGCGGAAUUCGUGGUGUAGCGGUGAAAUGCUUAGAUAUCACGAAGAACUCCGAUUGCGAAGGCAGUUCACUGGACUGCAACUGACACUGAGGCUCGAAAGUGUGGGUAUCAAACAGGAUUAGAUACCCCAGUAGUC
rnacentral:rRNA from 1 species